GAUGAACGCUGGCGGCAUGCUUAACACGUGCCAGUCGGACGGGAAGUGGUGUUUCUAGUGGCGGACGGGAGAGUAACGCGUAAGAAUCUGCCCUUGGGAGGGGAACAACAACUGGAAACGGUUGCUAAUACCCCGUAGGCAGAGGAGCAAAAGGAGGAAUCCGCCCGAGGAGGGGCUUGCGUCUGAUUAGCUAGUUGGUGAGGUAAUAGCUUACCAAGGCGAUGAUCAGUAGCUGGUCCGGGAGGAUGAUCAACCACACUGGGACUGAGACACGGCCCAGACUCCUAGGGGAAGCAGCAGUGGGGAAUUUACCGCAAUGGGCGAAAGCCUGACGGAGCAAUGCCGCGUGGAGGUAGAAGGCCCACGGGUCGUGAACUUCUGUUCUCGGAGAAGAAACAAUGACGGUAUCUGGUGAAUAAGCAUCGGCUAACUCUGUG
rnacentral:rRNA from 1 species